UGUACACACCGCCCGUCGCUACUACCGAUUGAAUGGCUCAGUGAGGCCUUCGGACUGGCUCAGGGAGGUUGGCAACGACCACCCCGAGCCGGAAAGUUGGUCAAACUCGGUCAUUUAGAGGAAGUAAAAGUCGUAACAAGGUUUCCGUAGGUGAACCUGCGGAAGGAUCAUUA
rnacentral:rRNA from 1 species